AACGAACGCUGGCGGCAUGCCUAACACAUGCAAGUCGAACGAGACCUUCGGGUCUAGUGGCGCACGGGUGCGUAACGCGUGGGAACCUGCCCUUAGGUUCGGAAUAACUCCCCGAAAGGGGUGCUAAUACCGGAGAAUGUCUUCGGACCAAAGAUUUAUCGCCUUUGGAUGGGCCCGCGUUGGAUUAGCUGGUUGGUAGGGUAAAAGCCGACCAUGGCGUCGAUCCAUAGCUGGUCUGAGAGGAUGAUCAGCCACACUGGGACUGAGACACGGCCCAGACUCCUACGGGAGGCAGCAGUGGGGAAUAUUGGACGAUGGGCGAAAGCCUGAUCCAGCAAUGCCGCGUGAGUGAUGAAGGCCUUAGGGUUGUAAAGCUCUUUUACCCGGGAUGAUAAUGACAGUACCGGGAGAAUAAGCUCCGGCUAACUCCGUG
rnacentral:rRNA from 1 species